AGUGAACGCUGGCGGUAGGCCUAACACAUGCAAGUCGAACGGCAGCACAGUAAGAGCUUGCUCUUACGGGUGGCGAGUGGCGGACGGGUGAGGAAUACAUCGGAAUCUACUUUUUCGUGGGGGAUAACGUAGGGAAACUUACGCUAAUACCGCAUACGACCUACGGGUGAAAGCAGGGGAUCUUCGGACCUUGCGCGAUUGAAUGAGCCGAUGUCGGAUUAGCUAGUUGGCGGGGCAAAGGCCCACCAAGGCGACGAUCCGUAGCUGGUCUGAGGGGAUGAUCAGCCACACUGGAACUGAGACACGGUCCAGACUCCUACGGGAGGCAGCAGUGGGGAAUAUUGGACAAUGGGCGCAAGCCUGAUCCAGCCAUACCGCGUGGGUGAAGAAGGCCUUCGGGUUGUAAAGCCCUUUUGUUGGGAAAGAAAAGCAGCAGGUUAAUACCCCGCUGUUCUGACGGUACCCAAAGAAUAAGCACCGGCUAACUUCGUG
rnacentral:rRNA from 1 species